UCCACGUAUUAGUUAGAUAUGUUUUGUGA
rnacentral:sRNA from 1 species